AAGUCGUAACAAGGUUUCCGUAGGUGAACCUGCGGAAGGAUCAUUAAUGAAUGAUAAUUUUUUGGGGUUUUCCCUGAAAAAUAAUUCACCCUUUGUGCAUUGUUAUUUAGAUAUACUUUGGUUAGUGCUUUGGUUCCAAAAACAUUUGGAAUCAACUUCUUGCUAACUCUAUCCUGUUAAGGACAGUUGGCUAUGAAGCGGCCUACCAAGGUUUUUUUUUAUCAAACACAUUUAAUCCAACUGACCUAAAACAAAAUAAUUAAAUCAUAACUUUCAACAACGGAUCUCUUGGCUCUC
rnacentral:misc_RNA from 1 species